GUGGUGGAAAGAUUUAUCGGUGCAGGAUGGGCCCGCGGCCUAUCAGCUUGUUGGUGGGGUAAUGGCCUACCAAGGCGACGACGGGUAGCCGACCUGAGAGGGUGACCGGCCACACUGGGACUGAGACACGGCCCAGACUCCUACGGGAGGCAGCAGUGGGGAAUAUUGCACAAUGGGCGGAAGCCUGAUGCAGCGACGCCGCGUGAGGGAUGAAGGCCUUCGGGUUGUAAACCUCUUUCAGCAGGGACGAAGCGUGAGUGACGGUACCUGCAGAAGAAGCACCGGCUAACUACGUGCCAGCAGCCGCGGUAAUACGUAGGGUGCGAGCGUUGUCCGGAAUUACUGGGCGUAAAGAGUUCGUAGGCGGUUUGUCGCGUCGUUUGUGAAAACCCGGGGCUCAACUUCGGGCUUGCAGGCGAUACGGGCAGACUUGAGUGUUUCAGGGGAGACUGGAAUUCCUGGUGUAGCGGUGAAAUGCGCAGAUAUCAGGAGGAACACCGGUGGCGAAGGCGGGUCUCUGGGAAACAACUGACGCUGAGGAACGAAAGCGUGGGUAGCAAACAGGAUUAGAUACCCUGGUAGUCCACGCCG
rnacentral:rRNA from 1 species